GACGAACGCUGGCGGCGUGCUUAACACAUGCAAGUCGAACGGAAAGGCCCUGCUUUUGUGGGGUGCUCGAGUGGCGAACGGGUGAGUAACACGUGAGUAACCUGCCCUUGACUUUGGGAUAACUUCAGGAAACUGGGGCUAAUACCGGAUAGGAGCUCCUGCUGCAUGGUGGGGGUUGGAAAGUUUCGGCGGGUGGGGAUGGACGCGGGGCUUAUCAGCUUGUUGGUGGGGUAGUGGCUUACCAAGGCAUUGACGGGUAGCCGGCCUGGGAGGGUGACCGGCGACAUUGGGACUGAGAGACGGCCCAGACUCCUACUGGAGGCAGCAGGGGCGAAUAUUGCACAAUGGGCGGACGCCUGAUGCAGCAACGCCGCGGGCGUGAUGACGUCCUGCGGGUUGUAAACCGCUUUCGCCUGUUACGAAGCGUGAGUGACGGUAAUGGGUAAAGAAGCACCGGCUAACUACGUG
rnacentral:rRNA from 1 species